GAUGAACGCUGGCGGCGUGCCUAAUACAUGCAAGUCGAGCGAACGGACGAGAAGCUUGCUUCUCUGAUGUUAGCGGCGGACGGGUGAGUAACACGUGGAUAACCUACCUAUAAGACUGGGAUAACUUCGGGAAACCGGAGCUAAUACCGGAUAAUAUUUUGAACCGCAUGGUUCAAAAGUGAAAGACAGUCUUGCUGUCACUUAUAGAUGGAUCCGCGCUGCAUUAGCUAGUUGGUAAGGUAACGGCUUACCAAGGCAACGAUGCAUAGCCGACCUGAGAGGGUGAUCGGCCACACUGGAACUGAGACACGGUCCAGACUCCUACGGGAGGCAGCAGUAGGGAAUCUUCCGCAAUGGGCGAAAGCCUGACGGAGCAACGCCGCGUGAGUGAUGAGGGUCUUCGGAUCGUAAAACUCUGUUAUUAGGGAAGAACAUAUGUGUAAGUAACUGUGCACAUCUUGACGGUACCUAACCAGAAAGCCACGGCUAACUACGUG
rnacentral:rRNA from 1 species